CUUCUAUGAAGAUGUGAUGACGAGCCUGAAAGGGAAUAUCCUUGUCCAGGUAUCCUGCGUCUUGCUGUGUUCUACAGCAUGGAUCUGGGGACCUUGGGUCAGAAUUUGAGUGAUCUUGAGGCAUUUGUCUGAGAAGG
ensembl:snoRNA SNORD15 Small nucleolar RNA SNORD15